rnacentral:lncRNA from 10 species
AUUAGCUGGGCAUGGUGGCACAUGCCUGUAAUCCCAGCUGCUCAGGAGGCUGAGGUGGGAGAAUCACUUGAACCCCGGAGGCAGAGGUUGCAGUGAGCCAAAAUUGCGCCACUGCCCUCCAGGCUGGGCUACAGAGUGAGAAUCCAUCUAAAAAACAAAACAAAACAAAACAAAAAUGAGGUGUGUGGAGACCUGAGGAUUCUGGUUUUGUCCAUCCCCCAAGGACUAACAGCUUUAAGGUGACCCUUUCUCCCAUUUGCUCCUCAAAGAUCGAAGCCGCGGUCAAGGCCGCCAGAGAAGCCUUUCCCAGCUGGUCAUCCCGCAGCCCCCAGGAGCGCUCACGGGUCCUGAACCAGGUGGCGGAUUUGCUGGAGCAGUCCCUGGAGGAGUUUGCCCAGGCCGAGUCUAAAGACCAAGGGAAAACCUUAGCACUGGCAAGAACCAUGGACAUUCCCCGGUCUGUGCAGAACUUCAGGUUCUUCGCUUCCU